rnacentral:rRNA from 1 species
AUUGAACGCUGGCGGCAGGCUUAACACAUGCAAGUCGAGCGGAGAUGAGGUGCUUGCACCUUAUCUUAGCGGCGGACGGGUGAGUAAUGCUUAGGAAUCUGCCUAUUAGUGGGGGACAACAUUCCGAAAGGACUGCUAAUACCGCAUACGUCCUACGGGAGAAAGCAGGGGAUCUUCGGACCUUGCGCUAAUAGAUGAGCCUAAGUCGGAUUAGCUAGGUGGUGGGGUAAAGGCCUACCAAGGCGACGAUCUGUAGCGGGUCUGAGAGGAUGAUCCGCCACACUGGGACUGAGACACGGCCCAGACUCCUACGGGAGGCAGCAGUGGGGAAUAUUGGACAAUGGGGGGAACCCUGAUCCAGCCAUGCCGCGUGUGAAGAAGGCCUUAUGGUUGUAAAGCACUCUAAGCGAGGAGGAGGCUACUGAGACUAAUACUCUUGGAUAGUGGACGUUACUCGCAGAAUAAGCACCGGCUAACUCUGUGCCAGCCGCCGCCGUAA